rnacentral:rRNA from 1 species
AACGAACGCUGGCGGCAGGCUUAACACAUGCAAGUCGAACGAGAUCUUCGGAUCUAGUGGCAGACGGGUGAGGAACACGUGGGAACAUCCCUUUCAGUUCGGAAUAACGUUGGGAAACUAACGCUAAUACCGGAUACGUCCUUCGGGAGAAAGAUUUAUCGCUGAAAGAUUGGCCCGCGUCUGAUUAGCUAGUUGGUGAGGUAACGGCUCACCAAGGCUACGAUCAGUAGCUGAUCUGAGAGGAUGAUCAGCCACAUUGGGACUGAGACACGGCCCAAACUCCUACGGGAGGCAGCAGUGGGGAAUAUUGGACAAUGGGCGCAAGCCUGAUCCAGCCAUGCCGCGUGAGUGAUGACGGCCUUCGGGUUGUAAAGCUCUUUUGUCCGAGAAGACAAUGACUGUACCGGAAGAAUAAGCCCCGGCAAACUUCGUGCCAGCAGCCGCCGUAG